UACGUAGGGGGCAAGCGUUGUCCGGAAUCAUUGGGCGUAAAGAGCGCGUAGGCGGCCCUGUAAGUCCGCUGUGAAAGUCAAGGGCUCAACCCUUGGAUGCCGGUGGAUACUGCAGGGCUAGAGUCCGGAAGAGGCGAGUGGAAUUCCUGGUGUAGCGGUGAAAUGCGCAGAUAUCAGGAGGAACACCGAUGGCGAAGGCAGCUCGCUGGGACGGUACUGACGCUGAGAGACGAAAGCUAGGGGAGCGAAUGGG
rnacentral:rRNA from 1 species